rnacentral:rRNA from 1 species
GACGAACGCUGGCGGCGUGCCUAAUACAUGCAAGUAGAACGCUGAAGGAGGAGCUUGCUUCUCCGGAUGAGUUGCGAACGGGUGAGUAACGCGUAGGUAACCUGCCUGGUAGCGGGGGAUAACUAUUGGAAACGAUAGCUAAUACCGCAUAACAGUAGAUAUUGCAUGAUAUCUGCUUGAAAGGUGCAAUUGCAUCACUACCAGAUGGACCUGCGUUGUAUUAGCUAGUUGGUGAGGUAACGGCUCACCAAGGCGACGAUACAUAGCCGACCUGAGAGGGGGAUCGGCCACACUGGGACUGAGACACGGCCCAGACUCCUACGGGAGGCAGCAGUAGGGAAUCUUCGGCAAUGGACGGAAGUCUGACCGAGCAACGCCGCGUGAGUGAAGAAGGUUUUCGGAUCGUAAAGCUCUGUUGUAAGAGAAGAACGAGUGUGAGAGUGGAAAGUUCACACUGUGACGGUAUCUUACCAGAAAGGGACGGCUAACUACGU